UUCUGCCCUAUGAUUGAUUAUUUAAAUGGCUGCAGUAUAUUGACUGUGCAAAGGUAGCAUAAUAAAUAGUUUCUUAAUUAGUGACUGGUAUGAAUGGAUGUAUGAGAGGUUUAUUUUAUUUUUUUUAUUAUUAAAAUUUUAUAUUUGAGUGAAAAAUCUCAUUUUUAUAUCUGGGACGAUAAGACCCUAUAGAUCUUUAUAGUUUUAUUAGUAAUUAUUUUUUUGUUCUUAAUAUUUUAAUUAAUUAUUAUUAUAAAUUAUUUUGUUGGGGUGAUGGAUAAAUUUAAUUAACUUUAUUUAUUUUGUUCAUUUAUUUGUGUUUCUUUUGAUCUAAUUUAUUAAUUAAAAGAUAAAGUUACCUUAGGGAUAACAGCGUUAUUUUAUUGGGGAGUUCAUAUCUAUAAUGAAGUUUGCGACCUCGAUGUUGAAUUAAGAUUAUUGUAUGGGGUAG
rnacentral:rRNA from 1 species